GAUCCUGGCUCAGGAUGAACGCUGGCGGCGCGCCUAACACAUGCAAGUCGAACGGCACCUAUCUUCGGAUAGAAGCGAGUGGCGAACGGCUGAGUAACACGUGGAGAACCUGCCCCCUCCCCCGGGAUAGCCGCCCGAAAGGACGGGUAAUACCGGAUACCCCGGGGUGCCGCAUGGCACCCCGGCUAAAGCCCCGACGGGAGGGGAUGGCUCCGCGGCCCAUCAGGUAGACGGCGGGGUGACGGCCCACCGUGCCGACAACGGGUAGCCGGGUUGAGAGACCGACCGGCCAGAUUGGGACUGAGACACGGCCCAGACUCCUACGGGAGGCAGCAGUGGGGAAUCUUGCGCAAUGGGGGGAACCCUGACGCAGCGACGCCGCGUGCGGGACGGAGGCCUUCGGGUCGUAAACCGCUUUCAGCAGGGAAGAGUCAAGACUGUACCUGCAGAAGAAGCCCCGGCUAACUACGUGCCAGCAGCCGCGGUAAUACGUAGGGGGCGAGCGUUAUCCGGAUUCAUUGGGCGUAAAGCGCGCGUAGGCGGCCCGGCAGGCCGGGGGUCGAAGCGGGGGGCUCAACCCCCCGAAGCCCCCGGAACCUCCGCGGCUUGGGUCCGGUAGGGGAGGGUGGAACACCCGGUGUAGCGGUGGAAUGCGCAGAUAUCGGGUGGAACACCGGUGGCGAAGGCGGCCCUCUGGGCCGAGACCGACGCUGAGGCGCGAAAGCUGGGGGAGCGAACAGGAUUAGAUACCCUGGUAGUCCCAGCCGUAAACGAUGGACGCUAGGUGUGGGGGGACGAUCCCCCCGUGCCGCAGCCAACGCAUUAAGCGUCCCGCCUGGGGAGUACGGCCGCAAGGCUAAAAC
rnacentral:rRNA from 1 species